rnacentral:rRNA from 1 species
GACAGAGGAUGCAAGCGUUAUCCGGAAUGAUUGGGCGUAAAGCGUCUGUAGGUGGCUUUUAAGUCCGCCGUCAAAUCCCGAGGGCUUCAACCCCUGGACAGGCGGUGGAAACUACCAAGCUGGAGUACGGUAGGGGCAGAGGGAAUUUCCGGUGGAGCGGUGAAAUGCGUAGAGAUGCGGAGGAACACCAGUGGCGAAGGCGGCUCUCUGGGACGGUACUGGACGCUGAGGCGCGAAAGCGUGGGGAGCGAACAGGG